rnacentral:rRNA from 1 species
GAUGAACGCUGGCGGCAUGCCUAAUACAUGCAAGUCGAGCGAACAGAUGAAGUGCUUGCACCUCUGACGUUAGCGGCGAACGGGUGAGUAACACGUAAGGAAUCUACCUAUAAGCGGGGGAUAACAUUCGGAAACGGGUGCUAAUACCGCAUAAUAUCUUCUUCCGCAUGGAAGAAGAUUGAAAGACGGCUCUGCUGUCACUUAUAGAUGACCUUGCGGUGCAUUAGUUAGUUGGUGGGGUAACGGCCUACCAAGACGAUGAUGCAUAGCCGACCUGAGAGGGUGAUAGGCCACAUUGGGACUGAGACACGGCCCAAACUCCUACGGGAGGCAGCAGUAGGGAAUCUUCCGCAAUGGGCGAAAGCCUGACGGAGCAAUGCCGCGUGAGUGAAGAAGGCCUUCGGGUCGUAAAACUCUGUUAUAAGAGAAGAACAAAUUGUAGAGUAACUGCUACAGUCUUGACGGUAUCUUAUCAGAAAGCCACGGCUAACUACGUGCCAGCCGCCGCCGUAA